rnacentral:misc_RNA from 1 species
UGUAGGGUGCCGAGGACGCACUGCGCAUGUCUGGGAUGCGAGGUGGGAAGUGAAGCGAGAUGCUGCCGAAGGCACGAGAUGACAACAAUUUCAGCAGCGGACUCAGAAUCGCCAGUCCGUAAUCCCCGCCAGCUUUUCAGUGUGUUUCUGGAGCAGUUCGCGUGCGGCGGUGUUUUGUGCGUUGUGUUGAGUGUUGACUGUUAAGGCGAAAGGGCUGGCUUCUUUGAAGGCUUACAAACAAUUUUGUCCCGACUCGACAAACAACAAAAAAUAAGUGCAUAGCCAGCCAACCGAGAGUUUAAAAGUGCAUUCCGCUGCAGCAGAACUAUAUUUGCACUUUCAUACAGCCCCUGGCGCUGAUUUGGGGGCGUGGCAGGUCGGCGGCGGACAAUGAACCCGCCCACGCAGCAAGGACAAUAAUUGCAGACUGAAUUGGCGUGGGAUGCCAGUGGAGGAGCAGCAUGAGUUGGCCCUUUUGGAGCGAUGGCAUAACUCGCAUUACGGCCGUUAAGUUUCGGUAAGUUGGCAAGUUAAGACGCCGGAAAUGGGCAGUCUGCCAAAUCUUCACGAGCUGGAGGAGGCGGAGCGCAAGCGGGAGAAGCGGCGGGAGUACGAACUGCUGCUGGAGCAGCGAGCCCGGGACACCAGUCGCGAGCGGGAGCGACUCUCCGCGUUCGCUCAGCAGCGCAAGCAAUCGUCGUAUAAUGCUUACAUAAUGGCUGGUCUGGGGAUUGGUGGCGGAUCCUUGAGCCUCAAUGCCACCGCAGGCACUGCCACCGGCAACGGAGAGCUGCCCGGUGGCAAUGGGACAGCUGCGGGAAAGGGCCAGAUCCAGGCGGUGGGCACAGCAUCUGGAUUGGCCGCCAGUGCGGGUGCUCCGGUGGCCAGCAGUGGAUUUGCGAUGCUGGGACUGGGCAAGAAGUAUAUCCCACACUCACACCACCAUCAGCAUCAGCACCAGCAUCAGCACCAGCACCAUCAGCACCGCCAUUCGCUGACCACCAGGCACAGAGUGCUGCGAACGCGCAGUUCUGGAGGAGCCCAGAACGUCUGGGAGGAGCAGAUGAUGGAGCAGCACAUCACCGCAUACUCGCCGUCGCCCAUCUCGACACGCUCGCAUCGAAUAAAUCCGGUGUCCUCGUACCAGGUGCAGGCUGCUCUGGCGGCCUCGCGUCGCCGGGAGUCGAUAAACAGCUCCAUUGGAGCCACCUCCAUACGGCGACUGAUAACGCUGAACAACAGGAAUUGCCGGCACAAGGUGCCAGCCCAUGUGCGCCAGAAGGUGUGGCGCCAGUUUAGCUGCUUGAGCUUGGCCCAUGGACUGAUGAACUGCGUCCUGCUGCCGGUGAUGGCGCUCCAGGGCUCCAAUGCAGUGUGGCACCAUCGGGAGGAAUGGUUGCCCCUCGGCCCGGAGAUUGGAUCCCUGCUGCUGAGUGCUCUCUUCCUGGUGGCCGCUGGCAUGAGCCUGCCCAGCAUUCGACUGAUGAAACGCUAUGGUUAUGGCCCACUGAUAGUGGCCAACUAUAUGACAGUGCUUCUCUUCCUCCUGUCGCACCUGUACGCCUCCAUUUACACCCUUCUACCCGCCUACCUGCUGCUGGGCGUGACCCUGAGCGGAUCCGCUGGCUCCAAGGCGGCCUUGAUUGUCCACUUUGGUGGGAAGCUGAGCUGCUCCUGCGAGUCGCAGCAGUCGCAGGCGGCCGUCGAUGUGCUUCACGAGGAGCACAAGAUGUUUUGCAAUCGGGAUCAGAAGGUGAGGCGUCUGGCCAGGUGGUUCAGGGUUUCCCAGGACCUGGGACUCAUCGGCGGAGCCCUACUCGCCUCCAUUUUGCUGGCCUGCAGCGAUGGCAACUUUACGGGCGAUUGCUCCGGACUGGUUUACUAUGGCAACGAGAGCUGGCCACCGCAACUGCGCGAUUUCUACAAUAGGAACGAGCACGGCGACAGAAUCUGUGGGGCAGACAUGUGCCCACUGAGAGUGCAAUCCAUCCUGGCAGCCGGAUGGGCCAAUGGCAGCUCCAUACCCAGCUCCAUCUAUGCGGGCUUCAUCGAAAGCGAGCCCCGGGUGGCCGGGCAAUCGCUGCUCUGGCUGUACGUUCUGUUCUCGAUGAUAUCGUUGGUCCUCUCGCUGCUGAUUGUGGUGGACAAGGUGCAGGCCACUGGGUCAUCGCGACCAGAGCGCUCCAGAGAUGUGAGCAUCACGGACACCCUGCUCUUUGCCGGUCCGCUGGCCUAUUUUGUGGGCACGGAACAGGCGUACAUGAUGGGUGACUUCCUGCGGGCCUUCGUCACGUGCUCCUUGGGGAUCGGCAUGAUUGCCGGCGCCUUGAUUGGCAUGGGUCUGAUGCAGCUCAUUGUCUCCUGCACCUUGAGCAUGCUGCUCAGGCAUGUCAAGCGGAUCGUCGUGAUUUUGGCUGGUUUCUUCUUCCACUCCUGUCUGCUGCUGGCCCUGUCCAGUUGGAAGCCGUCGAGUGACGACAGUGCCCUGUUCUACGUGAUUGCCGCCUCGUGGGGCGCCUGCAAUGGGAUGUGGGAGACGCUCCUGCUCUCGCUGGUCACCCUCAAUCAUGCCAGUCAUGUGACGGAGGUGCAGGCGCCUCUGCUGGCCCUCCGGUUCCUGGGCCUGGGUCUGACCUUCGCCGGUCACGGCUUCCUCUGCGAAUCGAUGAAGAUCAUCGCUCUGGUGGUGCUGCUCGUCAUCAGUGUGCCGCCAUAUGCUACGCUGGAGAUCCGAUUGGAGGCGCAACGCAAGGCGACGCUAGUCAGUUUAUGACGCAGCAUCUUCAGCUAGUCCCGACGAAUGCGACGGGAUGUCGUGGCCCGGACGCACACCAUGUGACAUGUUCCGGAUGCGGACACGGAUACGGACGCAGAACUGGAUUCGGUUCGGCGGCCAGAUCUCCUCGAGAUCGAUAUCGAGACCAAGAUCGAGACGCAGCCCGUCAGCAUGGAACGAGAGACACAAGUCAAGCGACGCAAGCUACACUUCAAGCUCAGUGGACAGAAGUCGCUCGAUUCGGAAAGGGAUACAGUUUGAAGGAGGCUCCAACUGAUAUAUGCAUAUUGACCUCUGGCUAUUGACCUCUGGCUAUUUGACCUCUGUCCGUGGGCCUAGAGGAUAAGACUAGUUAAUAGGUUUGAUCUACACUCAUGUGGGAGGGGAUGAGGUAUUCCCUCGAUGUGGGUGCAUUCUCAAUUUAUAGCAUUUGCCAGUGCCAGUAAUGUUGUUCCAUGUCUAUAACCUAUCUAUCAAAUAGAGAAAUAGAGAUAGAGACAGAUAGAGAGGAAUAUAUAUAUAUAUAUAUAUAGAGGGAGAGAGAGAGAGAGAAAGAGAGAGAGAGAGAGAGAGAGAGGGAGGAGAAGAGCUUUAUGAGCCACAAUAAGCAUCUAGCAUGUAGAACGUUAUAUAUGUAUGUAUGGUAUGUAUAUACCAGUAUAUCCGAUCUGAGGUGAAACGAUAUCAAUUGCCGUAUCUGCGCAUCUGCAUACAUGUGUAUAUGUAUUUCGCCAAGGGCUCCAAAAAGGUUUUUGUGUGUUUUUCCCAAUGUAAACUCCUAGGCGUAGGCGUGUAUUCAAUUGGAACUCCAGUUUGCGGUUUGCAGUUUCCAAACCGCAGCGAUCCGAUCCCGAUCCUGAUCCGGUCCAGAGUUAAUGUAUGUUAUGUAUGUGUUGUCGGUGUUAUGUGCGUUAUAUAGGUUUCGAGACCCUCCACUUUCGCCUAACCACAGGUGCAACCCGAUUCAGAUCCCGAUUCAGAUCUAGAUCCAGAUCCAAAUCUAGAUACAGAUCAAGCUGUUAUGAUAACCAGGUGAAAUCCUAAGGUCUAAGGUCUAAAAGCAACAAUGUUAACAUUUUUAAAAUUUUGAGAGUAACCAUUUUGCGACCGCUGACGAUUUCAUACAUCGGGCCAAGUAUUGCGAGUAUGUUGCUAGCCAUAUACUACGAGUAUAUAUGUAUACAUAUAUGUACAUCUACAUAUACACAUAGACAUAGACAUUAACAUACUAUAGUAUAUAUUUUUUCUUAGCGCUGGUUCCAUCUGAAUACUGAAUAGUGAAUAGUGAACAAAGCAGGUGGCUAAACGAAUGAAACCGGUGGGACGGGAAGCCGAAUACAGAUCCAGAGUUCUACGUGUAUUGGAUGUGUGUUGUAUAUUUGGCUUGUUCUCCAGCAAUUAAAACCGCCCUCGUUUACGCCUAAUUGCAAACAACUGGACUCAACAAUGCGCUGAGCUGGAGCUUUUUGGAGCAUUGGAGCUUUCUCUCGCCGAUCCAAAACGAUCCCAACCGAUCCGAUCCGAUCGCGAAAAGCUAAAGAUCGCGUCCGACUAGUGGUCACAUAUCAU